rnacentral:rRNA from 1 species
GAUGAACGCUGGCGGCGUGCCUAAUACAUGCAAGUAGAACGCUGAAGGAAGGAGCUUGCUCUUUCCGGAUGAGUUGCGAACGGGUGAGUAACGCGUAGGUAACCUGCCUGGUAGCGGGGGAUAACUAUUGGAAACGAUAGCUAAUACCGCAUAACAGUAGAUGUUGCAUGAUAUCUACUUAAAAGGUGCAAUUGCACCACUACCAGAUGGACCUGCGUUGUAUUAGCUAGUUGGUGAGGUAACGGCUCACCAAGGCGACGAUACAUAGCCGACCUGAGAGGGUGAGCGGCCACACUGGGACUGGGACACGGCCCAGCCUCCUACGGGGGGCAACAGUAGGGAUUUUUGGGCAAUGGGCGGAAGUUGGACCGGGCAACGCCGGGGGAUUGAAGAAGGUUUUCGGAUGUAAAAGCUUUGUUUUAAGGGAAAAACGAGGGGGAGAGUGGAAAGUCCACACUGUGACGGUUUUUUACCAAAAAGGGACGGCAAACUACGU